UCAGCGGGGAUCCCGAGCACCCGGGCAUUAAUGAGGGCCUGACCCCGUCUGCGCAGCCACUUGAGUUUUCCCGACGCAGACAGCCGGCUUAAGGGGCCCUUUCAUUCUGCACAUAUCAGAUCAGUCGGGACGGUUGUAAUCUAGUCCUUGUCAAAGCUGGGAGCGGGCUUUGCUGCCCAGCCAGCUCAAGGGGAAAUAAAAAGCCAGCAAGAGGGAGAGGUCAUGAUGAACUAUUGAUCGAGCAGGCGGCCGCGCUGCUCCCGGAGACGGCUUCUGCAGGGAACUCGCCCGGGACAGUUUGCCUCUCUAUCUCUCGCUAAUGCUGCUCCAUUGAUUUUCCGUGACAGGCGGCAACUACAGGAAUUUUUAUUUAUUUAUUUAUUUAUUUUUGUAGCUGGAGUCAUUAAGAGGCAUUAAUCAAUAACAGGGGAAACACGGAGAACCAAGCCGUUCGUUUCAUGCGGACAUAUUCCCCGUGUGGAUUUUAGCCUCCCGAGGUGCGCCUGGUUCGUUUCCAGCAGCCAGGGAGGGCUGCCAGGAAAAGUUCACCUUGCCUUGGACUCUGGCACUUGGAGGAGAUCCCAGGCUGGUUUCAGCACCCAGCCGCUCCGUCCAGACCGUGCAAGGAGAGGGGUCCGGCUGGGCAGCUGGUGACACCCGAGCCCAGCUCCGGCUGCAGGUUUGCUCAGCACCGUCACCCGAAUCCAGCCCAGGUGGGGCGACUGCUGCUGCUGCCUGGUGGCUCCCUGACAUGAAGUGUCUGACCUGGAAAUAGAGCAAUCCCCUCUUCAGUCCCACACUGGCCAUCAGGAGAAACCUUGGGCCAGUGACUUUGCCCUCCCUGCGCAGCCCAUCAGCCGCCGGGUCAACCACCCAGUCACUUCCAUCGGCACAAAAUCCAUCAGAAACGAGAGCACGGGACGCUGCGCAUCCACAGCCCCGCUGCUGGGGCAGUUUCACAGUCCCAGCCUUCGGCUUCUUGUGCAACCCAACUGCUUCGUAGCCCGGUGGGUAACUGCAGCGCUCGCAUUUAAACCACACUGAGUCAACAUCCUAAUUCCUCCCCGAGCGCUUACCCUGUUGUCAUGAGAGCACUGACGUGCGUAUACCUAAAAGCCCGGCAGCUACAGUGGCCGCGGGGCACCAGGAGCUCGUGCGGCAGCUGGGGGUCAGCCUGAAGCUCUGCCCUGCCAGCCUCAGAGCUGGGGAGGGAAAGGGAAGGCUGCAAGCAUGGGUGCAGCCCAGGGACAUCGCCACGGCAUCCACGCGGCAGGGUGAGCGUUGCCUCUGGUGCCCCAGUGCCCGUUUAGGCUGAGCGAGUGGGACG